AGACAGAGGGAGAAGGAGAGAAACACAAACUCCACACUGAGCUUGGAGCCCAAUUUGGGGCCAAAUCUCAGGAUUCUGGGAUCAGACCUGAGCUGAAACCAAAAGGCAGAAACUCAACCCAGUGUGCCACCCAGGCAAUCCUCUCUCAAUUCAUCUUAUCUCUGACAUCAACUUGGAGGGCUCAAAGCUUGGGAUGGCUGAAUGGUUGAGAACUGCAGUGAUUUAAAGAUACAUCACAUUUAUGGUACCUGGGCUGGGAUGACUUAAAGACCUUUACUGCUGAUUACAAUGUACCUGUUAGUUCACAACCUCCGGGGCUCUCAAGGAGAAAUCUGAAACUGGCCACCAUAUACAGAGGGCAAGGAGACUCAGAAGACAGGCAACUCCAGAUUCAUAGGCGGAGAUGUUAAUAAGCAAGGGAACUUACAUACAAGGCUUUU